rnacentral:rRNA from 1 species
UACGUAGGGAGCAAGCGUUGUCCGGAUUUAUUGGGCGUAAAGAGCGUGUAGGCGGCCGUACAGGUCAGCUGUGAAAACUCGAGGCUCAACCUCGAGACGUCGGUUGAAACCGUACGGCUAGAGUCCGGAAGAGGAGAGUGGAAUUCCCGGUGUAGCGGUGAAAUGCGCAGAUAUCGGGAAGAACACCCGUGGCGAAGGCGGCUCUCUGGGACGGUACUGACGCUGAGACGCGAAAGCGUGGGGAGCGAACAGG